ACUCCUACGGGAGGCAGCAGUGGGGAAUCUUGGACAAUGGGCGCAAGCCUGAUCCAGCCAUGCCGCGUGAGUGAUGAAGGCCCUAGGGUCGUAAAGCUCUUUCGCCAGAGAUGAUAAUGACAGUAUCUGGUAAAGAAACCCCGGCUAACUCCGUGCCAGCAGCCGCGGUAAUACGGAGGGGGUUAGCGUUGUUCGGAAUUACUGGGCGUAAAGCGUACGUAGGCGGAUUAGUUAGUCAGAGGUGAAAUCCCAGGGGCUCAACCCUGGAACUGCCUUUGAUACUGCUAGUCUUGAGUUCGAGAGAGGUGAGUGGAAUUCCGAGUGUAGAGGUGAAAUUCGUAGAUAUUCGGAGGAACACCAGUGGCGAAGGCGGCUCACUGGCUCGAUACUGACGCUGAGGUACGAAAGUGUGGGGAGCAAACAGGAUUAGAUACCCUGGUAGGAUAGCG
rnacentral:rRNA from 1 species